GUGAGGAAUAUUGCGCAAUGGAGGCAACUCUGACGCAGCCAUGCCGCGUGCAGGAAGAAGGCGCUACGCGUUGUAAACUGCUUUUAACCGGGAAGAAACCCCAGGACGUGUCCUGGGUUGACGGUACCGGAGGAAUAAGCACCGGCUAACUUCGUGCCAGCAGCCGCGGUAAUACGAAGGGUGCAAGCGUUAUCCUGAUUCAUUGGGUUUAAAGGGUGCGUAGGCGGAGCGUUAAGUCAGUGGUGAAAUCCUGCAGCUUAACUGUAGACUUGCCAUUGAUACUGGCGCUCUUGAGUGCGCUUGAAGUGGGCGGAAUGUGCCGUGUAGCGGUGAAAUGCUUAGAUAUGGCACAGAACACCAAUUGCGAAGGCAGCUCACUAAGGCGAUACUGACGCUGAGGCACGAAAGCGUGGGGAUCGAACAGGAUUAGAAACCCUUGUAGUCC
rnacentral:rRNA from 1 species